GUGCCAAGCAGCCGCGGUAAUACCCGCGCCCCGAGUGGUAGUCACGUUUAUUGGGUUUAAAGCGUCCGUAGCCGGUUUGAUUAGUCUCUAAUGAAAUCCUGUAGUAAACUGCAGGACUUGUUAAAGAUACUGUCAGACUUGGGACCGGGAGAGGCAAGGAGUACUGUAGGGGUAAGGGUAAAAUCUUAUAAUCCUUACGGGACUACCAGUGGCGAAGGCGCCUUGCUGGAACGGAUCCGACGGUGAGGGGCGAAAGCUAGGGGAGCGAAGGGGAUUAGAUACCCCCGUAGUCCUAGCUGUAAACGAUACCCACCAGACGUUGGAGUUCUCACGAGGGACUUCAGUGUCACAGGGAAACCGCUAAGUGGGUCACCUGGGGAGUACGGCCGCAAGACUGAAACUUAACGGAAUUGGCGGGGGAGCACACAAGGGGUGGAGGCUGCGGUUUAAUUGGAUUCAACGCCAGGAACCUUACCAGAGGCGACAGCAGAAUGAAGGUCAGGCUGAAGACUUUACCAGACAAGCUGAGAAGUAGUGCAUGGCCGUCGUCAGUUCGUGUCGUGAGAUGUCCUGUUAAGUCAGGUAACGAACAAGACCCGUGCCCUAUGUUGCGACCUUUUUAUCUAUAAAGAGGGCACUCAUAGGGGACCGCUGCUGAAAAAGCAGAGGAAGGUGCGGUCGACGGCAGGUCUGUGAUGCCC
rnacentral:rRNA from 1 species